rnacentral:rRNA from 1 species
UACGGAGGGAGCUAGCGUUGUUCGGAAUUACUGGGCGUAAAGCGCGCGUAGGCGGCUUUGUAAGUUAGAGGUGAAAGCCCGGGGCUCAACUCCGGAAUUGCCUUUAAGACUGCAUCGCUAGAAUCCGGGAGAGGUGAGUGGAAUUCCGAGUGUAGAGGUGAAAUUCGUAGAUAUCAGGAAGAACACCGGUGGCGAAGGCGGCCCACUAGUCCGGUAUUGACGCUGAGGCGCGGAAAAGCUAGGGGAGCAAACGGGGAUUAAGAAACCC